AAUGCCUACCAUAUGUGUGUGACCCUCUAGGCUCAAUAUCGAGCUGGCCGUGAGUCAUACCUGUCAGAACUCCUUCUAACUCAGUGAAUUAUUAUCUCUAUAAUAAUUCACUCGACUCAUCGACUACGGACGUACUAGGCCACUACGCCAUAGUCCCUAGAUGAUACAGGAAAAUCCAAUCCAUUGGACUUGUUUAUCCUCAGUUACCAUGUACCUAUAGUCCCUCAUCCAUCUAAUAUCCCAGAGACCGUAUAUCGAGCAUGGUGCUGUCAGACCCAUACGGUUUCUACUCGAGUCUCGCUCUAAUCGGAUUCUCCCGGAGAACUCUUUCUCUCUCAACCCGAAUGACCUUGGCCAGGGAUUUGUCUGAGCAAGAACACAUGGGAUAUUCCUCUCAUGACG
rnacentral:lncRNA from 1 species